AUGAACGGUAAACAGUUAAACAUUCCAUUAGUUGAAGUAUCAGGACAAAAAAAAAAAAAAAACAGUGGGGGUCGAUUGACAAUGCACUUCAACAAGUGGUAAAGUCAAUUUGUAGAUAUCGACUGAGAAUGAACUUAUAAAGUGGAAAUGUCAAUUCGUUUAUCUUCCUAUUUGUGUCGCCAAGUUUCUACUUACUCAAAGGCAAUAUAUAAAGAUCUUAUGGAAUUUUUUUACAUUAUCUCUGUUUUUGUUUUUAAAUCUGACCAGAAUAUUUUCAGACAAUAAAAAGUAAUGAAACUGUAGGUUUCGGGAAAAAACGAUUAAUAGAAAUGUUCUCCAAAAACAUUCUCAAAAGAUGAUCAACACACACUUCUCCCAAUAUUGUUUUACAGUACAGCCUAAUUUCAAAAAAUUUCAGUAAAAAAGAAUCAAAUGCUGCCUUAAACUAUAAAUUAAGACACAUAAAUCUAUAAAUAUUUCUAGAAGAAAUGCUUAAGGCUCUAAUCCUAUAUAUAAGAUUUAAUUAAUUAAGGAGCUUGAACCUGUUUGGUUAUUUUCUUCAGUGAAACAAAUUAAAAAAAAAAAAAGAUAUGAGACACUGAUAGAAAGUUACUGUUGUUUAGGAGUUCAGAUUUAUUUUAUAGUACUAAAUAAAAUUAUAUUAUAUCAGAAUUAUCAAGGACGGCUGCAGUUAGCUUCCAAGUUGAUGAGAAAACGUGUUCUACAUUUAUACUUUUGUCCAGUUACUUGAAACAUAACACAAUUAAAGUUUAGUUUAACCAACCUCAAAAGAAUAGAGAAACCUAACAACUCUUCCAUGUCUAAUGUGCUUAAUUUUUUAAUUUAACUUUGACAUAACUGUGAAAAGAGAAAGAUUAGCCGCGUUCAUAACCUUAGUUGACCCCACGCUGUUAGUCUCCCAUCAGUUAAAGUAAAAAAGAAAAAAAGAAAAAAAAUCUAAAUCAGAAUUAUGUGAAAGCCAGCUAAAUAACCCCUAUAGACAAUAUUCUACCAGCUAAUUGACACAAUUGGUAAAGAACAACUGAAUUGGAAAAACAAGAAGUGACAAAGUUACAGAAUCUGCUUUUACUUUUUGAAUUAAAGAGUUAAAUUCGGAUUCUUCAGUAAGCAAGAAAAAAAGUUAGCUACUUCGUCCCCGAAAUAAAUAAAUAAAUAAAUAAUAAAGCAAUUUUUUCUCGAUCGAUAGAUAUUUUUGUGGAAUUUACCGUAUUAGAUCUAGGCUAUAAUAUAAAGAGAAUUGAGAUUUUCUCAUUUCUCCCAAAAUUGACCCAUAGAGGUUUUAGUCUAUUAACCCCCUAUGUUUUCUGCACUUUGUUCUUUGUUUAAUAAGAAAGUCAUCUUUCUAUUCUAAUUUUUUUUU